GAGAAGUUAAACAUACGACAAGAACUGAAUUAACCAGCGCGCACAACUAGUUAAGAAAAACAAACAUCCUUUGACACAAGUUUCUAAUUAUAUUCUGGCUGCGCCUGGCAGCAUUAUUAUGAGAGUGAAAGUGGACGUGCUGCUACUCCCUGCAUUCCCAACAUGUAUCAAGUACCUGCAUUGCGUAAUGCAAGAGUGAGAUGACACAUCUCAGCAAGCAAAAUAAUAACAAACUGUUUAACCACAUAAGAACAUUGUUUUACCACCAUUUGAUUUUUACAACCUCCUUAUUACGUAGGUGUAGCACGAAUACAAUGUACAACACACCUAGUUACCACACCUCGCAGGUAGAAACCACAAUAGUAACAUAGUAAUGUCACACUUCAUAUAUACCUCAUGAGUGCAAAUGUCUGCAAAUGCAAGGAUGACUUCUGCCUUCAUACCUCUAAGGAUAUGAAGCCGCAUCGUACCCCUCCUCGGGCAACGUACGAUGCUAAAAGUGUACCGGUACGGUCGGACCAUAAGAUCACGACAUAACUUCAAAAUGCAAGAUGGAUGAUGCGAUGUGCAUGUCAUGCCUACAACACUUCCUAUAACAUGAUUCAAAAAGAUACUUCAACUUCAUCCAAGAUGGGAAUCAACCACAUAUAUCAUUACCAAAUUAUGAUCAUCCACAAUAUUAGACAAUUGAGAAUUAAUACCUCCAAACAAAUAAACUUCAUCAUAGAAUUCAAUGAUUAACAUAAUUAAAACUUAUGCAUACUCAAUGACAGGGAAUAGGAUGCAAACCAAACGGUAGCAACCACCACUGUAUUUACUUGCCUUUACCGGAAGUUUGGGCAAAUCCCUAAGUACGAUCCGGAAGUUCACCACCUGUUUUCGACACACAACUUAGUGCACCAAUUUCACAUAAUCAGGCUCAUAAACGACGCCGCACCUACGCACAAACUCAAACCCCGCCGCAGGUUACAUCUCCCUCCACACCCACCAAACUGCAGCGGCGCUGCUUAAUAAUUUCAUAACUUUAAAAUUAUGACAGCAGUGGUAACAAACAAAAACACCAGAGGCAUCUACAUAAAAUUCCCCACAAGUUUUGUAUACAAUUUUUAAUUAAAUUCCAAAAACUAAUUAGCCCAAAACAGUCCACAAGAUGAACCCUGUAAUAUGUUUUUUUGUCUUUUGGACAGCGACAUACCCGGAUUCAAACAGCGAUAUCUUUUAAAAUAUAAUUCCAAAUCAAGCGCAUAAAUACUCAUUGGAAAGAUAAGACAAAGCCCUACAUGAUUAUCAUACUGGUUAACACUAAUUACCCACGAAAAAUUCCCAGAAACUGCUAAUACUACUGCUGUUCACCCACCUGAAAAAUCUGUUUUUUUUGGACAGCAACAUAACCGGAUUCAAACAACGAUAUCUCCUAAAUUAUAACUCCGAAUCGAGCGCAUAAGUACUCGUUGGAAAGGUAUGACAAAGCUCUACAUGAUUCUCCCACUGAUCCCCACUAAUUGCCCACGAAAAAUUCCCAGAAAUCCCUAGAACUACUGCUGUUCGCCCUCCCACAAAAAUUCUGGACAGCACCUCUACCGAUUCGCAUAGAUAAACAUAUAAUCAAUUGAAUUUUAGCGCAAAAACAUAGAUAACUUCAAGAUCACCUUGAGUUCCACCUUUUUCCUCCUUCCUUCCUUCCUCCCACCAAUUCUCCAAUUGAAACUUGCACCCCCACGAAGAAGAUCCAACGAGGAAGAACGACACUUGGAGAAGAGGAGACGGGGGGUGGCGGCUAGGGUUGAGGAGAUGGCUGCUGCAAAAAACUUGAGAAUGGAGAGGGGGCGGCUGCAGCACUUGGGGAAGAGGGAAG
rnacentral:lncRNA from 1 species